GGGGCUGUGCUCAGUGGUAGAGCACUUGCCUUGCAUGCAUGAGGCACUAGGUUCAAUCCUCAGCACCA
rnacentral:tRNA from 1 species